UUUACAUCUGUAGUUUAUAGGAUGAGCACCUCCGAAGGAGGUUUGAGCCGAGCGCAGCGAGACAACGUUGCUUUAGCAACGGCCCGUAGGGCGGCAUCGCAGAUGCAAGUCAUCCUCUCUCGCUGACCA
rnacentral:sRNA from 2 species